CACGUAGGGGGCGAGCGUUGUCCGGAAUCAUUGGGCGUAAAGAGCUCGUAGGCGGUUUGUUGCGUCGGCUGUGAAAUCCCGAGGCUCAACCUCGGGUCUGCAGUCGAUACGAGCAAACUAGAGUGUUGCAGGGGAGACUGGAAUUCCUGGUGUAGCGGUGAAAUGCGCAGAUAUCAGGAGGAACACCGGUGGCGAAGGCGGGUCUCUGGGCAGCAACUGACGCUGAGGAGCGAAAGCGUGGGGAGCGAACAGG
rnacentral:rRNA from 1 species